GGGCCCCGCGCACUGACGUCCCGGCGGCAUCGGGGCAGCGCCCGUCUGCGCGCCUUUGGGCGGCUGUGAUGCCCGGGCGGGGCGGCUGACCCGGUGGUUCGCACAGCACAGGAGAGCCCUCGUUCUGCACGGCCCCGAACGAGAGGCAGGGCCCAAGUCGCGGUGUUACACCUCUCUUCGAAGUUCGCGGCGUCGGGAGGGCCUGGGAGCGGCAGUGCCCAUGGCUUGGCCCAGCGCGGUCCCCACUGAUAAAGUCACAAACCAGAAGCCUCAGCUUUAGAGAGACAUAUGUGAUGUUAUGAUGUUACCUGGAAACACUAAAUAUUUCCUUGUUCUGCUUGAGAGAGAGAGUGGUUCCUUAGAGGCUGUUGUGACACAAAGAAAUGGUCCCUGGCACAGACGGAGAAGAAGAGUAAGACAUUGCUCCCGAGAAGCCUGUGCAAAUGCAUCUCAGCCAUGUCCUGUUCAAACUGCAUUGCUUGAAAACCUUUGGGAAUUGUGAAACUUUCCAUUAAACUCUGUGGUUGCCCCGAGCUGAAAUUUAAAGCUAACUGCUGUAGGUAGACGUGUCUUGUAGAUGUUACUUUCAGAAAACAUUAAAUAAUGCAAAUCCUGAGAAAUGCCAUGAACUUCAGUGGCAUUAAUAUAGCUGUUAUACCAGUGCUGUUUAGAUUAAACACUCCUACUCUCCCUGCUACUUAACUGAGUUGAAUAUUACUUGGAGUACAGUAUGUCAAUUAAGCAGCAACCUUCUUCUAAGGCAAUGCAAGUAAAGUCAUUCUGUAUUACAUAUAUAUUACCGUACAAAAAAUAAACUGUACAAACGUAUAAUAAUGA